AAUACCAAAACAUAUAUUUUUUCGUAUAACAUUUGGGGAAACGUAUGCAGUCAUCGUAGUCUUACAUUUUGUUGGCCAACCAAAAUUACCAAAACGUUAACCCGUACUAAGGCUAGGGUGGAGUUGUACUAUGAGCUGGCUGAGUGUAAAUACAAGGCUCUGAAUGUAAGCAGCUUUUCACUGGAAACUUUCUUGUGUUCAAAUUAUCGUCAGUGUGAAAUAGCUACGUUUAUGAGAACGAUAAAUCAUGUGCAAUACCUGCGUCGACCUGUGACGAGCAGUAAAACACCGGAAAGUUACAAGAAGAACAAGAAUGGUUACCUUAUCCGGUCAUGUGACAUUUGUUGUUUAUAGAUUUUUCUCCCACACCAGAUGUCUGGACCCUGGACACAAAACAGGUUGGUCGACUUUUCGUCCCUUGUUGUGAGAAGUACAGCAUGCAUGCACAUUUGUUUUGUGUUUGGUUUAAAAAAAAAAAACGUUAAACCAGUAAGGAAGGUUACGUAACUAAGGUGAAUAAAGAAAGUUGCAUACACAACAUGGAAUGUGUGGAUAUUUUUGUUGCAUUACUUGCGUAUAUUUGGAUGCCAUUUUAGCCACCUAAACAUUAGGCUAUCUAUUCCCCUUUUUCCUCUUUGCAUCUUCAAAGAAACGGGGGAGGUUACUAUGUGAAGGAAUGUGUUAGGAUUGGAGGAUUUCUCUUUGUUUUUUCUUUUGAGAUGGUAUGGUUACUUAAAAAUCAUACAAUGUGAUUUUCUGGAUUUUGUUUUAGAUUCCGUCUCUCACAGUUGAAGUGUACCUAUGAUAAAAAAUUACAGACCUCUACAUGCUUUGUAAGUAGGAAAACCAGCUAAAUAGGCAGUGUAUCAAAUACUUGUUCUCCCCACUGUAUGUGAAGGAAUGUGUUAGGAUUGGAAGUUAUUUCUUUUGAGAUGGUAUGACCCCCAAGACCGACUGGAUGAGGCUAUUAAAAAAGCAGAACGCCUUGCUGAGGAGCUCAACCAAGAGAAGGACCCACAAGCCCAACUGGAUGAGGCCAUUAACGAGGCAAAAAGGCUGGCUGAGGAGCUCAACCCAAGUCGUACAUUACAAUGUAACAAGUCGUACAUUACCGGUAAUGUAACCCCUACAGCUCCCAUACGUGCAUAAAUAUUCUCAACACACCUCCAGCACCACAGCGUUAUGAUUUAUCAUUGCUUUUUGUUUGUCAAAGUAGACCCCACGUGGCACAAAUGUGAAUUUAAACGUAGACUCCGUGAUAUGACCUGAUCACAGGCAUCAAUGAUAUUGCCCAUUGAGCAUGAGCCACAAGGGUGCACUUGUUAGCAUCCUUGUGAACUUCUACACAUGUUAACUGUGUGAGUGAGCCAGAACAUGGGUCUAAUGCAGGUUGCAGAUUGUUCCUCAAACCAGGAAGGCAACUACAUCCACUUCUGUUGCUCCAAGGGCCAGUACGUCAAGAGCCAGACUAGUGCAACAUUUUGGGCCAGUCACUGAGGAGGAAGAAUCAGAGACAAGGACCAGUGGAUUGGAAUCCACUCCAGUUUUAAACAUUGAUGAAGAAAUAGGUAUGUUUAAAUUGGGGUGAUCUUGGUGUUACUGAAUUAUACUGCCCUAUAUCUUUAUUUUGACAGUGGUGCAACAUUUUUAAAUGUGACUCAAGUCUCCAGAAUUUCGGACUUGAGAUCUAAUGUUUGAUAUGAGGUUACAGUACAGAAUGUCACCUUUCAUUUCAGGGUAUUUUCAGACUUUUCUGAUUUACCGUUUCGAAAUGAAAGCACUUUACAUGUCUAGUUGCAAGUAGUUUUAUUAGUGGUAUGUACAGGAUACUGAUGGUAACACCAUCCAACGAAAUGCUUACUUGCAGGUAGCUUCUCGACAAUGCAAUUCCAAAUGCUGGAGUAUAGAGACAAAUUCAACAUUUUAGCAUCAUGGUCCAAGUACUUCUGUAGGGGAGGGCAAUAACAACAUCCAUAUACUUCUGUAGGGGAGGGCAAUAACAACAUCCUUAUACUUCUGUAGGGGAGGGCA